rnacentral:lncRNA from 1 species
AUAUAUAUAUAUAUAUAUAUAUAUAUAUAUAUAUAUAUAUAUAUAUAUAUAUAUAUAUAUAUAUAUAUAUAUGUGUGUGUGUGUGUGUGUGUGUGUGUGUGUGUGUGUAUAUAUGUGUGUGUGUGUUUUAAUUGAGCAUGUACUUUAUCGCUCAUUAUUUGUAUUAUUUUAUAGUCUUUGUUGCUCAUCAUUAUCAAAGGUGCUAAUCUUUUUGUACCUGGCUGUAUAUGCUCUGUAUUGCUAUGGGUAUUGGGGAUAUAUGCCAUAUUAUAUAGUGUAUAUUAUUCCUAUAUGACUAAUGUCAACUGUGCUGCUAUUGGUGUUUCAACAAAACAGCUCUGAGGGAUAAUGUAAUGUCGUUAUGAAUUAGGUUAAACCUCAUUCAAACCUCAUUCAAAACAGCUCUAAGGGAUAAUGUAAUGUCGGAUAAUGUAAUAAGGGAUAAUGUAAUGUCGGAUAAUGUAAUGUCGUUAUCAAUUAGGUUAAACCUCAUUCAAAACAGCUCUGAGGGAUAAUGUAAUGUCGUUAUGAAUUAGGUUAAACCUCAUUCAAAACAGCUCUAAGGGAUAAUGUAAUGUCGUUAUGAAUUAGGUUAAACCUCAUUCAAAACAGCUCUAAGGGAUAAUGUAAUAAGGGAUAAUGUAAUAAGGGAUAAUGUAAUGUCGUUAUCAAUUAGGUUAAACCUUAUUCUUCUUGUUCGUUAUUUUUUUUUGCGCUAAACAACCGUUUAAUUUUUACAAAGAAUAAACUUGAACAACUAAUUUGAUCUCUGUUAAAUCUUUCAUGUUUUUAUGUCUUUCAAUGUUUAUGGUGAAAUGUUGCUACGCGUUUUAAAUGAUGUUACUUAAUGAGACAGAGACUUGGUGUCAAUUGGGCAUAGAGUCGAUUAGAUUUCCAGUUAUGCUUUCAUUCUAGUCUAUACACAUCAUCCUCUGUAG